rnacentral:rRNA from 1 species
CCCUUAGAUGUUCUGGGCCGCACGCGUGCUACGCUGAGUGGAUCAGCGGGUCAGGUUGCGCGAAAGCGUUUCCUAAUCUUUAAAUCCGCUCGUGAUGGGGAUUGACGGUUGCAAUUUUCUGUCAUGAACGAGGAAUACCUUGUAAGCGCGGGUCAUCAUCCCGCGCUGAAUACGUCCCUGCCCUUUGUACACACCGCCCGUCGCUCCUACCGAUUGAAUGAUCCGAUGAAUAUCAUGGAUUGAGGAUGCAAGCAGGUUCGCCUGUCUUCAUCUUCGAGAAGUGAAGUAGAUCUUAUCAUUUAGAGGAAGGAGAAGUCGUAACA